rnacentral:rRNA from 1 species
UACGGGGGGGGCAAGCGUUGUUCGGAAUUACUGGGCGUAAAGGGUUUGUAGGUGGCUUGUUAAGUCAGACGUGAAAUCCCUCAGCUUAACUGGGGAACUGCGUCUGAUACUGGCGAGCUUGAGUGCAGGAGAGGAAUGCGGAAUUCCAGGUGUAGCGGUGAAAUGCGUAGAUAUCUGGAGGAACACCGGUGGCGAAGGCGGCAUUCUGGACUGUAACUGACACUGAGGAACGAAAGCCAGGGGAGCAAACGGG